GCGUGCUUAACACAUGCAAGUCGAACGAUGAAGGGAGCUUGCUCCUGGAUUAGUGGCGAACGGGUGAGUAACACGUGAGUAACCUGCCCUUGACUCUGGGAUAAGCCUGGGAAACUGGGUCUAAUACCGGAUAUGACUGACUAUCGCAUGGUGGUUGGUGGAAAGCUUUUGUGGUUUUGGAUGGACUCGCGGCCUAUCAGCUUGUUGGUGAGGUAAUGGCUUACCAAGGCGACGACGGGUAGCCGGCCUGAGAGGGUGACCGGCCACACUGGGACUGAGACACGGCCCAGACUCCUACGGGAGGCAGCAGUGGGGAAUAUUGCACAAUGGGCGCAAGCCUGAUGCAGCGACGCCGCGUGAGGGAUGACGGCCUUCGGGUUGUAAACCUCUUUCAGUAGGGAAGAAGCCGCAAGGUGACGGUACCUGCAGAAGAAGCGCCGGCUAACUACGUGCCAGCAGCCGCGGUAAUACGUAGGGCGCAAGCGUUAUCCGGAAUUAUUGGGCGUAAAGAGCUCGUAGGCGGUUUGUCGCGUCUGCCGUGAAAGUCCGGGGCUCAACUCCGGAUCUGCGGUGGGUACGGGCAGACUAGAGUGAUGUAGGGGAGACUGGAAUUCCUGGUGUAGCGGUGAAAUGCGCAGAUAUCAGGAGGAACACCGAUGGCGAAGGCAGGUCUCUGGGCAUUAACUGACGCUGAGGAGCGAAAGCAUGGGGAGCGAACAGGAUUAGAUACCCUGGUAGUCCAUGCCGUAAACGUUGGGCACUAGGUGUGGGGGACAUUCCACGUUUUCCGCGCCGUAGCUAACGCAUUAAGUGCCCCGCCUGGGGAGUACGGCCGCAAGGCUAAAACUCAAAGGAAUUGAC
rnacentral:rRNA from 1 species